CUGGUUCAUACCCACUUAGCCA
rnacentral:siRNA from 1 species